CCUCAGUCGUCCUCAGUGUGAAAAGAUGGAUCUCAACAUCAUAUAGAGACUGCUGGAAAGAGGUCAAAUAUGCAGAAGAUGCUGGAAAAGUACAGAACGUGCAGGACCUGGAGGAUUUUUCUGAAGAACAGCGGGCAGUUUAACUGCUCAGGACAAACAAGGGACUCGUGAACAACUCUCACAGAACAUAAACACAGUCGCUGAUCAUCCAGGUAACGACACACGGGAUUAAUAAUGAAGUGUGUGUAAACUUUUGAACCGG
ensembl:lncRNA